UCGCAGCCUAAGCGACCCGCGAGGGGCAUUAGGACAGGGGUUGGUCGGUGAGUACCCUGAUUCGGAAAUAACCCCGACAGCU
rnacentral:ncRNA from 1 species